CAACCUGCCGAUAACUCCGGAAUAGCCUUUCGAAAGAAAGAUUAAUACCGGAUAGCAUACGAAUAUCNCAUGAUAUUUUUAUUAAAGAAUUUCGGUUAUCGAUGGGGAUGCGUUCCAUUAGUUUGUUGGCGGGGUAACGGCCCACCAAGACUACGAUGGAUAGGGGUUCUGAGAGGAAGGUCCCCCACAUUGGAACUGAGACACGGUCCAAACUCCUACGGGAGGCAGCAGUGAGGAAUAUUGGUCAAUGGGCGAGAGCCUGAACCAGCCAAGUAGCGUGAAGGAUGAAGGCUCUAUGGGUCGUAAACUUCUUUUAUAUGGGAAUAAAGUUUUCCACGUGUGGAAUUUUGUAUGUACCAUAUGAAUAAGGAUCGGCUAACUCCGUGCCAGCAGCCGCGGUAAUACGGAGGAUCCGAGCGUUAUCCGGAUUUAUUGGGUUUAAAGGGAGCGUAGGUGGAUUGUUAAGUCAGUUGUGAAAGUUUGCGGCUCAACCGUAAAAUUGCAGUUGAAACUGGCAGUCUUGCGUACAGUAGAGGUGGGCGGAAUUCGUGGUGUAGCGGUGAAAUGCUUAGAUAUCACGAAGAACUCCGAUUG
rnacentral:rRNA from 1 species